AACGCACAUUGCGCCCCUUGGUAUUCCAUGGGGCAUGCCUGUUCGAGCGUCAUUUGUACCCUCAAGCUUUGCUUGGUGUUGGGCGUCUUGUCUACCUCUUUAGCGGGUAGACUCGCCUUAAAGUAAUUGGCAGCCAGUGUUUUUGGCAGUAAGCGCAGCACAUUUUGCGUCUUAGUCCCUAAACAGUGGCAUCCACAAAGCCUCUUUCUCACUUUUGACCUCGGAUCAGGUAGGGAUACCCGCUGAACUUAA
rnacentral:misc_RNA from 1 species